rnacentral:tRNA from 1 species
GAGGGUGUAGCUCAGUGGUAGAGCGCGUGCUAGCUUGCACGAGGUCCUGGGUUCAAGCCCUGGUACCUCCA